GACGAACGCUGGCGGCGGGCUUAACACAUGCAAGUCGAACGAGAAGCCAGAGCUUGCUCUGGUGGAAAGUGGCGCACGGGUGAGUAACGCGUAGGCAACCUGCCCCUAGAAUUGGAAUAACUUCGGGAAACCGAAGCUAAUACCGAAUAACAUCUUAGAGUCUCCUGGCUCAUAGAUCAAAACUCCGGUGUCUAGGGAUGGGCCUGCGUAAGAUUAGGUAGUUGGUGAGGUAAUGGCUCACCAAGCCUGCGAUCUUUAGCUGGUCUGAGAGGAUGAUCAGCCACACUGGCACUGAGACACGGGCCAG
rnacentral:rRNA from 1 species